rnacentral:rRNA from 1 species
GAUGAACGCUGGCGGCGUGCCUAAUACAUGCAAGUCGAACGAACAGACGAGGAGCUUGCGCCGCGGACGUUAGCGGCGGACGGGUGAGUAACACGUGUAUAACCUACCUAUAAGACUGGGAUAACUUCGGGAAACCGGAUCUAAUACCGGAUAAUAUAUUGAACCGCAUGGUUCAUUAGUGAAAGACGGUGUUGCUGGCACUUAUAGAUGGAUCCGCGCCGCAUUAGCUAGUUGGGAAGGUAACGGCUUACCAAGGCAACGAUGCGUAGCCGACCUGAGAGGGGGAUCGGCCACCCGGGAACUGAGACAGGGUCAAGACUCCUACGGGAGGCAGCAGUAGGGAAUCUUACGCAAUGGGCGAAAGCCUGACGGAGCAACGCCGCGUGAGUGAUGAAGGUCUUCGGAUCGUAAAACUCUGUUAUUAGGGAAGAACAACUGUGUAAGUAAACAUGCCCGUCUUGACGGUAACUAAUCAGAAAGCCCCGGCUAACUACGUG